AAAAUAUAUAAAAGCAUCGGUGCAUAUAUGGAAAACACUAGAAAGUAAUUUAAAGAGAUUAUUUUGGAAAUCAAAGCAUUUUUAGAGAAAAAGGAAACUUCAAUGGGCAAUUGAAUUAAUUAUUCAAAAUAAUUUGCGUUCCUAAGGAAAACCUUUAUUAUUAAAACUUCCCGAACCGAACCAUCGUAGUAAGGAAAGGAAAGGAAAUCAACCGAGACUCUGCAAGUAACGGCGAGUGAAAACAGACUAGCUUUUAAAAUUAUGUACGUAAUUAUAUAUAUUGUAUAUACUAAGCUGAAUUAUAUUUUACAUAUUACAAUUUUAGUAAUUCCCUGAAUAAGUGAGUUACAAUAUUAUUUGUAAUAUAUAAAUUGCAAAUUUCAUUUUUUGUAGUUUAUACGAAAGAGGGCAAAAGUCCCGUAAAAUAUAUACAAUUUAUUUUAAAUACGUAUGUUACAUAUCAAUUAUUGAUAUUGUGAAGCACGAAAACCUGUAAAACAGAAUUGUUAAAAUUUAUUUUAACUAGUGUAUAAUUUUUUAUAAAGUACAACGAAGGAUAUUUUGUUGGAAUACAGGGGAACCAUCCUCUAAAGCUAAGUACUCUAAAAAUAGCGAUAGCGCAAAGUACUGUGAAGGAAAGUGCAUUAAAGACAGGCAGUAGGCCUGGAGAACACGGAAUGAAAAAGUAACUUUACAAGCAACAGGAGUUUAUUAAAGACGACUGUGUACCUUUUGUAUAAUGGGUCAGCAACUUAAUAGGAGUAGCGAGGUGUAAGCCUUAGCGAAAGCGACUAGUUUCAAAUAAAUUUGGUAUAGUUACUCGUAUUAGACCCGAAGAUAGGUGAUCUUACGAUGAUCAGGGUAUAUUGGCCCGAACGGUUGAAUGUUGCAAAAUUCUCCGAUGAAUUGUCGUAAGGGGUGAAAGGCCAAUCUAACCUAUUGUGCUGGUUUUCCACGAAAGAUAUUUAAGUAUCACAUCAAUAUAAAGAUUUAUGAAGGUACAGCUUUGAUUACCAUACGUUAAAGUUAAAUUGGGGGGCUUUGCAACCCUACCUUUGGUAGUUAACCUCGGAAUUACAUAAAUUGUUUAUUGAUAGCCAGACUAUUGAUGAUAAGGUGGGUGGUCGAGACGAAAACAGUCGUGAACACAUGUUUAAGGUUCCAAAAUAUUGUUUAAGUGAAAAUAAGGAAGUUUUUCUCUGUAUACAACUAUUCAAUUCGCCUGGCAGUCGCGAGUGUUUGAGAACGUGUAACAACGCAAUAGUCUAAAUUAUUAUAUUUUUAAUAUAAUGACGGAGAAACGCGCCGAAAAUUUAACGGAUCUAUGACGAUUACCGAUACUGUGUUAUUUUAUAUAAUAAUAAAAUUAUAUGAAAUAGGUAGUGGAACAUUCAGUAAGGACGAAGAACAGUAUUUCAUUGUUUGGACUAAACUGAAGAGAUUAUGCUGACAUGAGUAACGUAAAAAGAUGGAUAUAAUCCAUCUCGCCGAAUACGAGAGGGUUGUUAAGCAAGGUUCAACCGCUUAAUGUAAGUGCGGCCUCUAAGACAUAAUAGUCGAUGAGUCUAAUAAAGAAAGUCCUUACAAUAAUUUGUAAGAUUUAUUAUUUAUUUUUAAUAAAUAAGAUUUAGAUCAGGAAAAUAAUUUAUUAGUCAACCGUACCCUAAACCGACAAAGGUUCGUAGGUAGAGUAUACUAAGGCGAUGAGAUAAUUCUUGUUAAGGAACUCGGCAAAUUGUCCUCAUAAGUUAGACGAGAUGAGGAACCUUCUAUUAAAUUUGAUAGAAUUUUUCUAUGAAAUGAAAAGAGGGUGUCACAAAAUCGGACGCACCGACUGUUUACUAAAAACACAGAUAACUGCUAAGAUGAAAAUAUUUGUAUAGUUGUCGAAUUUUGCCCAAUGCCAUUAAUAUAAACGAGGUGAAAUAUUAUUACCGAGUGAAAGUCUGGUCAAUGGCGGUCUUAACCUUAAGGAUCCAAAGGUAGCAAAAUUCCUUGUCCGCUAAAUACGCUCCUGCAUGAAUAAAGUAACGAUUGCGUCGCUGUCUCUACAAGUAUCUCAGUGAAAUUGAAUUAGCCGUGAAGAUGCGGUUUCUUUGUGGUCGGACGGGAAGACCCUAGCAGCUUUACUGUAAGUUGUUAUCACAUUUUUUUGAUUUAGGUGUAGCAAUAUAAGGGAGUCUACAGGACAAAAGUGAAAGACCUUAACUAAUAUUGAUUAAAUGUUAAAGCUUAUUUAAAUAAGGAUACAUAUGACAACCCGGCAGUUUGUCUGGGGCGGAAGCCUUUAAUAGAGUAUGAAAGGCAUCCAAAUUCUUAAUUAUUUUUAUAUUUAUUUCGGUAAAUAAUAAAUUAUAAUUAUUAGGUAAAUAUACCCAUAUUAAGGUUUGCUAAAAUCGGAUGGAAAUCGAUUAAUCAUGUAAGAUUAAGAAGGCGUAAUGGCUAAAGCAAGCUUCACUGAGAGACAUAUAAGUCAAACAGAUUCGCAAGAAGGGCAUAGUGACCCGGUUGUAUAUCAUGGAAUAGCCAUCGUUUAAUAGAUAAAAGUUACGCUAGGGAUAACAGGCUAGUCGCGGGAGAGAGUUCAUAUCGAUACCGCGCAUCGGCACCUCGAUGUCGACUCAUCUUAUCCUCCGGGUGUAGGGGCUCGGAAGGGUUCGGCUGUUCGCCGAGUGAAAAGGUACGUGAGUUGGGUUUAAUACGACGUGAGUCAGUAUAGUCCCUAUCCUCCAUAAAGAUAAAGAGUAAAAAAAGGAUGGUCUCUCAGUACGAAAGGAUCAGAUGACUGUGUUUCUAUAGUGUACCAAUUGUUUUAUAGCAUAGUUGGGUAGCCACAAACAUAAUGGAUAAGAGCUGAAAGCAUAUUAAGCUCGAAACCAACCUUUAGAUACUCUGUACAAAUAAGAAAUAGACUAUUUCUUAAGAAAAAUUCUAAUAUUUUCUACUUUAUAUUAAAAAUAUAGAGUUUAACUUGUAUAGUUUUUAAUUAUUUAGGAAA
rnacentral:rRNA from 1 species